ACGGAUCCUUCGGGAUUAGUGGCAGACGGGUGAGUAACGCGUGGGAAGCUACCUUGUGGUAGGGGACAACAGUUGGAAACGACUGCUAAUACCCUAUGAGCCCUAUGGGGGAAAGAUUUAUCGCCAUGAGAUGUGCCCGCGUUAGAUUAGCUAGUUGGUAAGGUAAUGGCUUACCAAGGCGACGAUCUAUAGCUGGUCUGAGAGGAUGAUCAGCCACACUGGGACUGAGACACGGCCCAGACUCCUACGGGAGGCAGCAGUGGGGAAUAUUGGACAAUGGGGGCAACCCUGAUCCAGCCAUGCCGCGUGUGUGAUGACGGCCUUAGGGUUGUAAAGCACUUUCAGCAGUGAAGAUAAUGACAUUAACUGCAUAAGAAGCCCCGGCUAACUUCGUGCCAGCAGCCGCGGUAAUACGAAGGGGGCUAGCGUUGUUCGGAAUCACUGGGCGUAAAGAGUACGUAGGCGGACUGAUAAGUUAGGGGUG
rnacentral:rRNA from 1 species